rnacentral:rRNA from 1 species
GGCUCGCGUGGUUUAAUUAAGCAAAACGAAUUUUAAGUUUAACUCCCCGAAACUGAUGUGAGCUACUUCGAAACAGCCAUAAGAGCCAACCCGUCUCUGUUGCAAUAGAGUGGGAAGAUUUCCAAGUAGCGGUGAUAAACCUACCGCACUCAGAAAUAGCUGGUUACUCAAGAAAAGAAUAUAAGUUCAACCUUAAGUUUAUUUUAGUCCUUCUAAACCUUAAUAAAACUUAAGAGCUAUUCAAAUAAGGCACAGCUUAUUUGAAACAGGAUACAACCUUUAUCAUAGGGUAAUACAUCAAAAAUAAAAUGGUUAGUGGGCCUAAAAGCAGCCACCUUAAACAAAAGCGUCAAAGCUUAACAUUUUCUUUUUCUAAUUCCUCAAACCAUCUAAAACCCCUCCCCAAUAUUGAGUAAUUCCAUAAAAAUAUGGAAGAUAUUAUGCUAGAACUAGUAACAAGAAAUAACUUUUCUCCAAAAUGUAAGUCUAAGCCACAUUAGAUAAACUAAUGGCAAUUAACGAAAAUGAACCCCCUUUAGUAACUAAUCAAGAAAACUCUACAAACUAAAACGUUAACCUCACACUAGAACAUUAAUGGAAAGAUUAAAAGAAAAAGAAGGAACUCGGCAAAUCUUAACCUCGCCUGUUUACCAAAAACAUCGCCUCUUGAAAUCAAAUAUAAGAGGUCUAGCCUGCCCAGUGAUAAAAUUCAACGGCCGCGGUACCCUAACCGUGCGAAGGUAGCAUAAUCACUUGUUCUUUAAAUAAGGACUUGUAUCAACGGCAUCACGAGGGUUACACUGUCUCCUUUUUCCAAUCAGUGAAACUGAUCUCUCCGUGAAGAAGCGGAGAUUUUUUUAUAAGACGAGAAGACCCCAUGGAGCUUUAAACCCACCUGCACUCCUAUUUUCUACUACCUCUAAAACUAUGGAAUCUGCAUUCUUGGUUUUAGGUUGGGGUGACCGCGGAGCACAAUAUAGCCUCCACGAUGAACGGGAUUAUCCCCUUAUCUAAGAGCAACACCUCUAAGAAUUAGAAUUCUAACAUAAAAUGAUCCGAUAGUCGAUCAACGAACCAAGUUACCCUGGGGAUAACAGCGCAAUCCACUUCAAGAGCCCCUAUCGACAAGUGGGUUUACGACCUCGAUGUUGGAUCAGGGUAUCCUAGUGGUGCAGCA